rnacentral:rRNA from 1 species
CAGCCGUAAACUAUGCUCGCUAGGUGUCAGGCAUGGCGCGACCGUGUCUGGUGCCGCAGGGAAGCCGUGAAGCGAGCCACCUGGGAAGUACGGCCGCAAGGCUGAACUUAAGGAAUUGGCGGGGGGAGCACAACAACGGGUGGAGCCUGCGGUUUAAUUGGACUCAACGCCGGACAACUCACCGGGGGACGACAGCAAUAUGUAGGCCAGGCUGAAGACCUUGCCUGAAUCGCUGAGAGGAGGUGCAUGGCGUAGACGUCU